UAGGGAAUCUUCGGCAAUGGACGAAAGUCUGACCGAGCAACGCCGCGUGAGUGAAGAAGGUUUUCGGAUCGUAAAACUCUGUUGUUAGAGAAGAACAAGGACGUUAGUAACUGAACGUCCCCUGACGGUAUCUAACCAGAAAGCCACGGCUAACUACGUGCCAGCAGCCGCGGUAAUACGUAGGUGGCAAGCGUGGUCCGGAUUUAUUGGGCGUAAAGCGAGCGCAGGCGGUUUCUUAAGUCUGAUGUGAAAGCCCCCGGCUCAACCGGGGAGGGUCAUUGGAAACUGGGAGACUUGAGUGCAGAAGAGGAGAGUGGAAGUCCAUGUGUAGCGGUGAAAUGCGUAGAUAUAUGGAGGAACACCAGUGGCGAAGGCGGCUCUCUGGUCUGUAACUGACGCUGAGGCUCGAAAGCGUGGGGAGCAAACAGG
rnacentral:rRNA from 1 species